GACGAACGCUUGCGGCGUGCUUAACACAUGCAAGUCGAACGGUGAAAGCGGAGCUUGCUCCGCUGGAUCAGUGGCGAACGGGUGAGUAACACGUGGGCAACCUGCCCCUCACUUCGGGAUAACUCCGGGAAACCGGGGCUAAUACCGGAUAUGACCUCCUUGGGCAUCCUUGGAGGUGGAAAGUUUUUCGGUGAGGGAUGGGCCCGCGGCCUAUCAGCUUGUUGGUGAGGUAGUGGCUCACCAAGGCGACGACGGGGAGCCGGCCAGAGAGGGCGACCGGCCACACUGGGACUGAGACACGGGCCGGACUCCUACGGGAGGCAGCAGUGGGGAAGAUUGCGCAAUGGGCGAAAGGCUGACGCAGCAACGCCGCGUGCGGGAUGACGGCCUUCGGGUUGUAAACCGCUUUCAGCAGGGAAGAAGCCGCAAGGUGACGGUACCUGCAGAAGAAGCACCGGCUAACUACGUGCCAGCCGCCGCGGUAA
rnacentral:rRNA from 1 species